rnacentral:rRNA from 1 species
UCGAGGGACCCGCUAAUCGUCGGAAGGAUCGUGGGCGAUGUCAUCGACUACUUCAACGCAUCGGCCCGGCUGAGGGUGUCGUAUGGCAACCGGGAGAUGACGGUCGGGUCCGAGCUAAGGCCGUCGCAGGUGGCGAACCAGCCCACGAUGCACAUCACAGGGAGAGCAGGAUCACCCUACACGCUCGUGAUGGUAGACCCUGAUGCACCGAGACCAAGCGACCCUUCCGAACGGAGUAUCUCCAUUGGUACGCUUGUCACAGACAUACCAGAAGGAGGUGACGUGGGCCGUGGAACCGAGGUGGUGGCGUACGAGAAGCCGCAGCCGAUAGCAGGGAUCCACCGUUUCGUAUUUGUGGUUUUCCGGCAGGCAGCACGGGAGGACAUCGCAGCACCAGGGUGGCGCUCCAACUUCAUCACAAGGGACUUGGCCGAGUGCUACAGCCUCGGCGCUCCAGUUGCCGCUGCCUACUUCAACUGCCAGAGGGAAGGCAGCUGCGGUGGCCAGAGGUGGUACAGGUGA